AAUCACACAAAAAAUUAUAAUUAAAAGAAUGAGGGUGAAAAUAAAAAUAAAAAUAAAAAUAAAUUAGAGGGCAUUAUAAAAAUUUAAAUCGGAGGGUUAAAUUCAAAAGAAAAAAACUUUAACAAAAGGAAAAAGAAAUCAAAAGAAUGAGGGAUAAAUUGAAAAAAAUAAAAUAUAAAUUUUGAUUGAAAGAUAAAAUUGAAAACAACAAAACUUUAACAAAAGAGCUAAGAAAAAA
rnacentral:lncRNA from 1 species